rnacentral:tRNA from 1 species
GUCCCUUCGUCUAGAGGCCUAGGACAUCACCCUUUCACGGUGAGUACAGGGGUUCGAAUCCCUAGGGGACGCCA